AGCUCCAAUCUUUGGAAACUUGUGAGUUUCUAGGCAAAGAGACUGGUGCAAUAUUUGGGUUUCUUCCUAUAUAUGAGCUUGAGAAUCCAAUUGAACCGAGCAUGCCAAAAAGUCUUCAAAGGAUCAGAGCUGAGAAGUCCAGUCACAAGGGACGAGAAAAGGAUCCAGAUUCCAUUGAAGACUUGAGUAAAGACAAA